rnacentral:rRNA from 1 species
GUGGGGAAUAUUGCACAAUGGGGGAAACCCUGAUGCAGCCAUGCCGCGUGUGUGAAGAAGGCCUUCGGGUUGUAAAGCACUUUCAGCGGGGAGGAAGGGCUACUAGUUAAUACCUAGUGGCAUUGACGUUACUCGCAGAAGAAGCACCGGCUAACUCCGUGCCAGCAGCCGCGGUAAUACGGAGGGUGCAAGCGUUAAUCGGAAUUACUGGGCGUAAAGCGCACGCAGGCGGUUGGAUAAGUUAGAUGUGAAAGCCCCGGGCUCAACCUGGGAAUUGCAUUUAAAACUGUCCAGCUAGAGUCUUGUAGAGGGGGGUAGAAUUCCAGGUGUAGCGGUGAAAUGCGUAGAGAUCUGGAGGAAUACCGGUGGCGAAGGCGGCCCCCUGGACAAAGACUGACGCUCAGGUGCGAAAGCGUGGGGAGCAAACAGGAUUAGAAACCCCUGUAGUCC